AUUGCAGAAUCCCGUGAACCAUCGAGUCUUUGAACGCAAGUUGCGCCCCAAGCCGUUAGGCCGAGGGCACGUCUGCCUGGGUGUCACGCAUCGUUGCCCCACCCCACCCCCCCGGGGGCCCGGCGGUGCGGGCGGAUAUUGGCCUCCCGUGCGCUCCCCGCUCGCGGUUGGCCCAAAUCUGAGUCCUCGGCGACCGAAGCCGCGGCGAUCGGUGGUGAAUGAAAAGCCUCUCGAGCUCCCGCCGCGUGCCCGGUCUCCGCGAGGGGACUUCGCGACCCUGACGCCCCGCGCAAGCGGCGCUCGCAUCGCGACCCCAGGUCAGGCGGGAUCACCCGCUGAGUUUAAGCAUAUCAAUAAGCGGAGGAAAAGAAACUUACCAGGAUUCCCCUAGUAACGGCGAGCGAACCGGGAAGAGCCC
rnacentral:rRNA from 1 species